CCUCUUUAUUAUUUUUUCACUGCUACUAAAACCUCGGAACUACUACAAAACUUUAUUUUACGAAACAAAUUCACUAGUUGAAGUUGACGACACCGUAAAGACCACUGCGAAAUAGGAUAGAAUGAUUCCAUGGAGUAAAUAAAAGCGCACGGGUAAUCACGACUUUGGUCUGUGUCAACCAUUUGCAACUGAAAUAAUGAUAAGCACAAACGAGUUGAGUGUAGGAUCUGACGUAUAACACUGUAAUGUCAGGUUGUUAUGUUUAUUGUUUUGGCAUUUCUGUAACAACCAUUUGAGUUCCAUAACAGGUGACCAUGUACGGCUUAGCGGGCAUGAUGUGGAGAAGGGUACUUUCAGCCAUCGCUACUCUAAGUUACAUGAUCGGAAUACUGGAGCGAAAUAUUGCCUGCUCGACCAUAUUGUCAGCAAUCAGAAUGAAGAUAUAUUCACCGGUAGUAACGGUUCGCUAUUUGAGUUUGGGGUAUUAGGGCUCGUGCUGGGCUACUCUAUGGAGAAUCCUAAUUGUUUUGUCAAUGGGAAGCUCAGUUUGGUGACUUUGCUGAUGGUGCUCAAGUCGUUCUUCAUCAGUUUUUAUGCAUCCUCCCUUAUGGGUAUGAUGGACAAGAACCAGUGCAUUCAAGUGAUCGUCUUGAAAGAUACCUCCAGAUCCGCCUUGAAAUGUGAAACGGACACUUUUUCGGUUUUCCAAGAUGAGUGAUGGCUACCCAUUUGCCGUACCUGAAAUGGAUCCAAGCCUGAGACGGAAAAUCCAGGAAGUAAAUUGAUUCAGAGACUUCCGCAGUCCUCUAAUCAUUGUCAACCAAGAACCUUUCGUCGUCUUGAGACCUGUGUGUCAAGUCUUUCUGAAUUUGACGAUGUUCAAGGACAUCUCGGUUUUGAUAAGCAGGGUACACGAUUCAAGGGUUUGAUAAAGGAUAAGGACGAUCAUGGUCAAGUUGAGAGUAGUUGUUGGCUUGUUCUUUGCUUGAGCAAGUGGACACUGUCUUCCCAGGACUGAUGUAUGUAUUUUGUGACAGUUCGGUCGUAAAUUUCCUGAUAUGUGGAUGUUGAUGAUCACAAAUCUAAAUCUUGUGAUGUACAAGAAGAGUAUCUGCUUUGCAAUAAUUUAACAUUUUACUUUA